ACAGCUGCUUCGUGACUGAGUAACUCCGCUCGUUACGCAUCGGGUCGAUAUUCCUCGAGGUGAAAAGCGACGAGAAGAGGACAACACGGAUCGUCGCCGACUUAUAAUAAAAUAAACGAACCGCAGGUUCGUCGCGUCGCGCGUUUAUUCCGGGAGUGUCGUUCAAGUUAUCGGACUAAUAGACUUUUCAUAACUCCCGUUUGAUAGAAUCCUAAUUCGAGGGCCGGGAAUCGCACCCCCGCUGCUUGGCAGUGGACAUCUCAUUGGGGCGUUCACCAUCUUAAGGCGGGUGAAUCGCGUUUAAUCUGACUUUUGGUCAGGCUCACAAUCAGUUUUGGCGGUUCCGCUCAUGUCGAGAGGUUGGGUCUUAUUUCCUGAUUCGUUAGAAUGUUAGAUGUCGGCAAUGAGUACCUUCUUUUCUCGUCACGAUCAGCCUUGUUGACAUCGCUCGUGGUAUAGCACCAUUGUGAAUCACCUGGGCCGCUGGCUGCGUAUGACUGAGUCAAUUUUUAAACAUGAUUUUUGCGAGACAAGAAGCGUCGGAUUUAAUGUCAUUGAUUUCGUUUUCUUCCGCGUGGGAUUUAUCCUUUGUUUAGGGACGGGUAUGCGUUCGUUCUACUCGCCGACUCGGGGUGCUGAAUCCACGGAACUCCCUCCGAAUCGGAAGUCUUAUCAUGGAUCUUAUAAACCCGAAGUGCCGCAAUGUGUUUGUGCAAAAAAACUCUCACAGAUAUAUUUAAUUAGUCCACGGGCGCAGUUUCAGUGUGUUUAACGCGAGUGUUUAUCGCGAGUGCAGCAAGAGGAAAAGACUCGACAAUCUGGAGCUGAGAGGAAGAGGAGGCCUGAGAGAGGCAUCAGGCCCCAGCGGAGCAACCUUGGGUAAUCACCGUAGCUUCGUGGCUGAUUUAACUCCGCUCGUUGCGCAUCGGGUUGGUGAGUCAGAAAUCAAUUCUUGUAUUAUAUUUUAAUGUUUUGUAAAUAUCCUGUCCAGGAUCAAAAUGAAAAUUACACUAUUAACAUCUCAAUACACAUACGUGUACAUAGAAUAUGCAAUUUCUGCAAUGACAGUUGCUUACGAAGCACAGCGAGAGAACAAAAGCGACAACAAUAAUUUCGAUAUAUUCUUUACAUGCUUUUUUUUAGAAACAAUUUUAAUAUUUUAUCGUUAAUCGACUUCGCUUUACUGAAAGUACGUAUCUUAUUACGGAGCAGAAUUUUUGCUCGUUGGAUGGUAACAGAAUACGGGCUGUAUAGGAUUAUUUGUGUUCUUUCAACACUUUGAAAAAGAUUAUCUAAAUUUUCGCUUAAAUGAGAAAACACGGUAUUUUAAGUUUAGCAUGUUAGGUAGGAAACAACGUGGAAGGAAGAAAAAAUAAACAGCGCUCAAGAUGAUAGCCAAAUUGUGAAAUAAUGGUCGUAAAAUACCGUUCUAGUUUUAUACGCGCAUUGUUAACAUGAAAAUUAUACAUGUAAAGUAUAAAAUUGAAUUAGCCGUCUAAAUUGGCCUUUAACAGAUUAUCAAAGAAUAACAAGUCUUAUUUAUAAUUUUAUUUUUCCCAGGCUAAUUGCUCAAAUAAUAGACAUUAAUUGUGGUUCUAUAUAUAAUUCAUAGUAGUUAUCUGAUUAAAAUUAUGAAAAAUGAAAGCGAUUUUUCUAGGCAACACAUAUUAUAUUAAUUUCAAUACAGAAAAAUAUUUUGCAUGCAUCAUAUCACUUUUUUGGCUGACCUCAACAUAUUUAUUUCGAUGUUUUUGGCGCUUGAGCUAUCUUAACCGACCCGAGGAACCAACAGAAAAUUUAUCGUCGAUGAAAAUACGGUAUCUCUCUCCCUCUCUCCGUUCUUUCCUGCGAUGUUUUCCCGUGCAGUUCGCUAUUUUCGUUCAAACUCGUCAAAUAUUUCGUGAGGGUGUCUUUUCAUUCGCCGCGAGAAAUUCUCGCCCCUGCUGGUACAAGCUAUUCGAUUCAAUUCGGUUCGAGUCGACUCGAUUCGAAGGGUAGUCUGAUUAAAUUCCUUUCGGGAUAAGAGCGGCGAGAAGAGGACGAGGGAGGAACGCGGGCGACAAAUCCUCGAGAUCACCGGAGCGAGACAAGCAGUCAGCUUGGACUCCCUAGUCUUCUUCUCCGUCAAUCGUCUCACUACGGUGAUCAGCAUCGUAGACCAACGGCGGUGCAGUGUUUUGACAUUUGAUAGAAAUCUUUCCAAAUGAUCCAUGCUGAUCUGUCGAUCCUUUACUUAUGUAUGAUUAAAGCUCGACUUCACGAAAGUGCGAAAAUUAUUUAUUUCUAAGUUUAUUUAAAAUCUUUUAUAACUUUGAAAAUUUUUUGUGAUUAUGUGCACGUUUUUUAG